rnacentral:rRNA from 1 species
UACAGAGGAUGCAAGCGUUAUCCGGAUUUAUUGGGUUUAAAGGGUGCGCAGGCGGGUAUGUAAGUCAGAGGUGAAAUUCUACGGCUCAACUGUAGAACUGCCUUUGAUACUGCAAAUCUAGAGUAUAUUUGGAGUGGGCGGAAUGUAGCAUGUAGCGGUGAAAUGCUUAGAUAUGCUACAGAACACCGAUCGUGAAGACAGCUCACUAAACUAUAACUGACGCUCAGGCACGAAAGCGUGGGGAGCAAACAGG